rnacentral:lncRNA from 1 species
UCGUAUUUUAGCAAUUGGAGUACGUUUCUCCGUCGUCUUUCUCCUCAACAUUCAAAACGAUUCUUCAGCUCAGAUCCGGAACUCCUCCAUUCGACACCCAAUUAAAACUCAGAACAACUUUUUCAGGUACACGUCUUUUCUUUGUUUAUUUGUCUUCCAAACUUAAUUAUACCAGAUUUUUUUUUGAUUUUUUUCCUUUUGAAAUUCGCUUUCAUUGAUCUCUGGCUUCCCUACUCCCCAACGAUUGCUAAUUUGAAGGUGCUAAAUUACAACUUGUUACACAGACCCUGUAAUUUGCUUCGUAUCGUUGCAAUUAUGGAUGGGAGCUGUAUUCAUUUGUUAAUCGGAAACGUAUAGUAUUGAUGUAUG